AACGAACGCUGGCGGCAUGCUUAACACAUGCAAGUCGAACGGAGAAUUUAUUUCGGUAAAUUCUUAGUGGCGAACGGGUGAGUAACGCGUGGGCAACCUGCCCUUCAGAUGGGGACAACAUCCCGAAAGGGGUGCUAAUACCGAAUACGAUCACGCUGCCGCAUGGCGGUGUGAUGAAAGAUGGCCUCUAUAUAUAAGCUAUCGCUGAAGGAUGGGCCUGCGUCUGAUUAGCUAGUUGGUGGGGUAACGGCCUACCAAGGCGAUGAUCAGUGGCCGGUCUGAGGGGAUGAACGGCCACAUUGGGACUGAGACAUGGCCCAAACUCCUACGGGAGGCAGCAGUGGGGAAUAUUCCGCAAUGGACGAAAGUCUGACGGAGCAACGCCGCGUGAGUGAUGAAGGUUUUCGGACUGUAAAACUCUGUUGUUUAGGACGAAAGUGCCUGCUGCAACUAGUUGCAGGUAUUGACGGUACUGAACGAGGAAGCCACGGCUAACUACGUGCCAGCAGCCGCAGUAAUAC
rnacentral:rRNA from 1 species